rnacentral:rRNA from 1 species
UACGGGGGGGGCAAGCGUUGUUCGGAAUUACUGGGCGUAAAGGGCUCGUAGGUGGCCAACUAAGUCGGACGUGAAAUCCCUCGGCUUAACCGGGGAACUGCGUCCGAUACUGGUUGGCUUGAGUUUGGGAGAGGGAUGCGGAAUUCCAGGUGUAGCGGUGAAAUGCGUAGAUAUCUGGAGGAACACCGGUGGCGAAGGCAGGUCUCUGGGCCACUACUGACGCUGAGAAGCGAAAGCAUGGGGAGCGAACAGG